UUUUGUCGGUAAACGGGCUUGAGGCGCCUCCCAACUGCUUCCGAAAAGAAAAAUAAAUACCUGUACACAGACGCUACUUAGAGCCCUGCGCACAUCGCGGCACACCCGCCGUUCUGCCCGUGCACAUCUUUUUUUGAAGUUGUUUUCUCAUUGCCCUUCUUUGCAUCGCCUUUCACCCUGACUUUCUCGCGCCUUUUUUUUUCUGUUUACCUAGAUCAUCAUAUCUGUCCACUCUCUUCCCCCAUUAAGCUGCUUAUUAUCCUACCAAUGCAGAAGCCGCGCACUGUGUCGGCGACGACGCUUCCGCAGGUGGCGGCGGUACCGCGUCCUCCGAUGUCGGGGGUCGCAGCGGCAGCACUACAUCAUCGCAGUUACCACGUGGCCGUCACCGCGAGUAGCCGGCCGCGACGAGUUUCGCUCAACGCACCAAGACAUGUGCCGAAGUACAUCUUUACCGAACCCACUUCUGUCCCGUGGCCUCGCUCCCUGCGCGGCGCUCAUGACAUCUGUGCAACUGUUUCGCAUAGUCGACAGCGCACGCUGUGCAAGACGAGUGAAGAUUCCGUUCUAAAGGCACGCCCUCGAACCGUCUCUGCCGCAGACUCCGCGAAGGUGCUCGCCAUUCGAGGCGUUCCAUUCGCAGCGGAUAAGCUCGGCACGGGGAAAGACGAGGAUUCGUCGCAGCUCAACGAUGGCUUUGAUGGCGGCUUGUCAAGCUCCACGCUCACCACCUGCUCUCCGAAAGGGCCGCGGCAUCAGCCGAUCCAGCCGGGCCGCAUGCUGAAGCUGCAGCUGGACACCGCUGCCAUCGAGGAUGAGCUGAAGCUGUCGGCCAACUCGAAGUCGGCGACCGCUGUGAGCCCCACGACCCCGCGGCCGGAGAAGCUCGCGGCAUACCACGCUCUGCGGCUUCUCUUCGUCCCCAUCUGGAAGCUCUACCGCUUUCACAAGCAGAUGGUGCGGGCGACGGCGAUUGUGGCCAAACACGUGCUUCUUAAGGUCCACUGGCGGCGGCACCGUCGCAGCGAACGAGCCACUGACACCUUUCUUCACUUGCUACGCAUCCCGCGCACGAAGCUGCGCUGCGCUGCUCAUCUCCUAGAAGGGCGAGUGGUGCGCAUCCAGCGUGCCUUCCGGCGCCACCGCGCGCGUGUGCAGGCCGUGGUAGAGCUCAACUACCGCAAGGUGCGUCGUGAUGUGGAGGAGGCGUACUGGGAAGCCGUCGUUACACAGCAUGAGGCGGAGCUUGCCGUGCAGCAACGACCCUUUAGUCCUGUGCCAAAGGCGGUACGAGAGGUGUUCGGGGCAAGGGCAGAGGCGCGGGCACGUUUUGGCUCGAUUCAGCGCCGCACAUGUCUUCUCAGCUCUGCUGAAAAAUCGUCGUAUGACGCUGCAGCUCCCAGCUGCGAGCUGGACGUCUACAGCUUUCACAUGAUCGGCCGGCUGCCCGAGUCGCUGCUCCGCUUUGAGAUGACCUCCGCUGUGUUUGCGCAACUUCGGCGGUCCGCUGCGCGAGCGCACUUGAUGGACGACUUCUCCGAGACGCGGGCUCGACGCGCAGGGAUGGAGAGUCUCAUGGAGCCAGGCGACAUUACACCCACAAAUACUGCGUUUGUGCGCAGCAGAGGAAAGUGUCGUGCGCAGAUGCCGCGCUUUCUGCCGGAGAGCGUCUACGCUGCCAUCCUGAAUAACACAUGUUACCUGACGAGUCUGAUGCGCGACGACCGGAAGCUGCGGGCCCACUUGCGCCAACGUGAACAUCACUUAGAAUCGUAUUGAGCAGUGCAGCGUUUUUUUUUUUUGCGUGUGCCUCGAGACUGCCCUCCCCCCCCAAGCAGCCUACCUCUUCCACUCGCUUGGUGUGAUGCAACAGAGGACCCACCUUUAAGCGCGCCUCCGCGUCGUGCUGCCCUUGCCGCUCACGCAUCAGGAGCGUUUCUCUGUUCGUGACGCGGCGUUUCUUGCACUUAUGUGAGGCAGUGCGGAGGCGAGCCCUUUCUCGUUGUGCUUGUGGAUGUUGUCGCCUGCCUUUUUGGUUAUCGUUUGCGCCUCGGCGGUGUGGUGCGCGGCGCGCGAGCUCUGCCGUUCGCGUCGUGGGGGAGGGCAUUUGUGUCCAUGAAGGAGUAUUCGAGCAUCAUUUUGUUUUGUGGAAUGACGAGAGAAGCGCGGCUGCGUGCGGGAGCAAGUGCGAAAAAUGUGCGCCGGUGGGUGGUGAUAGGCCAACGCCUCUGUCCUUGGUUUUGGGUGCUUCGCUUGGUUUUUGCUUCACGUCAUCUCUUCUUUUCACCAUUAUGUAAACUACCAACCAUGUCGGUGUAGAGAGCGGCGACUCACGGCGGUGUUGCGGCACCCACCUCCCAGUAAUCCAACACCUCGACGAUGGGCGUACAGUUGCGUAAGUGAAAAGGCAUCUGUGACUCGAUAUAUCUCUCUUUGCGCGCGCUUGUGCCUGUGGCGAUGCGUGUGUGCCGUCGUGCAUGCCUGUGCGCGUCCUUUAUUCCUUGCGCCCCUGGCGCGUUCUUCCCUUUCCUCUGCCCAUUUGUUUUUGUUUCGCCUUUUCCGUGUCAUGUCUGCGCCUCUGCUCCCUCUCACCUUUUUUUUUGGUGUAGCACACUUUUUGUUGCGGUGGUCUCUCUUUUUUUUGUUGGGGUAUGUCUGUGUUCUUUCUCGGCCAUGCGUGUGAGACACUCUGUUCAGGCUGCGCCGCUCCCCUGCCCUUACGCACUGGAACUUCCGUAUGCGCCACCUGGUAACUGCGAGCCCCGCGCUCGCGCAAACAGGUACCUGCCUGCAAAUACAUCGGUGGGCCUUGCCUCACCACUUUGUUCCAAUAUAUAUAUAUAUAUAUGUACAUACACUGUUCCUCUCCUUUUGUUGAAGAGAGCGCCCGUCGUGAUCCCGCCGCUCUCUUCCGUGCACCGCUGUCUUGUGAGUGAAGUGACGCUGAACAACAAGGAAAAAACGAAAAAAAAACAUUUCUGCCGUUUUCUUUGCUGUUCUUUUCAUGCGUUGUCUUCGCGCGCGCGCACAGAUGCGGACGCGCACGCUUUUCUCUGGUGGAAAACAAAGAACAAGAGCAGGCGCACAUAGACGCAGCAGCCGUAUCGCGUCACGCUUUUACAGCUUCGGAGCACGAAAAGAAGUAAGUGAGCACCCUUUUUUUUUGUUUUCUAGUUUUCUGUCUGUUGUUGGCUUCUGUGUCAAGAGCGAAACGGGCGGGACUCCCUUUUUGUCUCCUUUUUCUCCCUUUCUGUUAUGCGACCUGUCGUUGCCUUGUUUUAUUUUUUUUUUUGUGUGUAAUCUCGAAAUGCGUUGAGAUCAUCGUUACACGCGCAAAU
rnacentral:misc_RNA from 1 species